rnacentral:rRNA from 1 species
GACGAACGCUGGCGGCGUGCUUAACACAUGCAAGUCGAACGGCAACGCCUCUUUCGGUGGCUACUCGAGUUGCGAACGGGUGAGUAACACGUGAGUAACCUGCCCUUUACUUUUUGAUAGCUUCAGGAGACUGGGGCUAAUACCUGAUAGGGGCUCCUACCUCCGGGUGGGGGUUGGGAAUUUUCGGCGGUUGGGGAUGGGCUGGCGGCUUAUCCGCUUUUGGGGGGGGGAGUGGCUUACCAAGGCCUUGACGGGUAUCCGGCGCGAGAGGGUGACAGGCGACACUGGGACUGAGAGAAGGCACAGACGCCGAAGGGAGGCAGAAGGGGGGAAUAUUGCACCAUGGGUGGAAGCCGGAUGAAGAAAGGCCGUGUGCGGGAUGACGGCUUUCGGGUUGUAAAACGCCUUCGCUCAUGACGAAGCCUUGUGUGACGGUAGUGGGUAAAGAAGCACCGGCUAACUACGUG